UACGUAGGGUGCGAGCGUUGUCCGGAAUUAUUGGGCGUAAAGAGCUCGUAGGCGGUUUGUUGCGUCGGCGGUGAAAACCUGCAGCUUAACUGUGGGCCUGCGGCCGAUACGGGCAGACUUGAGUUCGGUAGGGGAGACUGGAAUUCCUGGUGUAGCGGUGAAAUGCGCAGAUAUCAGGAGGAACACCGGUGGCGAAGGCGGGUCUCUGGGCCGAUACUGACGCUGAGGAGCGAAAGCGUGGGGAGCGAACAGG
rnacentral:rRNA from 1 species